AGCGAACGCUGGCGGUAGGCCUAACACAUGCAAGUCGAACGGCAGCACAUUAAGUGCUUGCUCUUACGGGUGUCGAGUGGCGGACGGGUGAGGAAUACAUCGGAAUUUAUUUUCUCGUGGGUGAUAACUAAGGGAAACUUACGCUAAUACCGCAUACGACCUACGGGUGAAAGCAGGCGAUCUUCGGAACUUGCGCUCUUGAAUGAGCGGAUGUCGGAUUGGCUAGUCGGCGGGGUAAAGGCGAACCAAGGCGACGAUCCGUAGCUGGUCGGCGGGGGUGAUCGGCCACACUGGAAUUGAGACACGGUCCAGACUCCUACGGGUGGCAGAAGUGGGGGAUGUUGGAAAAUGGGCGCAAGCCUGAGCCAGCCGUACCGAGUGGGUGAAGAAGACCUUCGGGUUGUAAAGCCAUUUUGUUGGGGAAGAAAAGCAGCAGGUUAAUACGCAGCUGUUCUGACGGUACCCAAAGAAUAAGCACCGGCUAACUUCGUG
rnacentral:rRNA from 1 species